rnacentral:tRNA from 1 species
GCGAGAGUGGCGGAACUGGCAGACGCGCUAGACUUAGGAUCUAGUACCUCCGGGUGUGGGGGUUCGACUCCCCCCUCUCGCA